rnacentral:rRNA from 1 species
AUUGAACGCUGGCGGCAUGCCUUACACAUGCAAGUCGAACGGUAGAGUAGCAAUACUUGAGAGUGGCGAACGGGUGAGUAAUAUAUCGGAACGUGCCCAGUCGUGGGGGAUAACGUAGAGAAAUUUACGCUAAUACCGCAUACGAUCUAAGGAUGAAAGCGGGGGAUUCGUAAGAACCUCGCGCGAUUGGAGCGGCUGAUAUCAGAUUAGGUUGUUGGUGAGGUAAAAGCUCACCAAGCCGACGAUCUGUAGCUGGUUUGAGAGAACGACCAGCCACACUGGGACUGAGACACGGCCCAGACUCCUACGGGAGGCAGCAGUGGGAAUUUUGGACAAUGGGCGAAAGCCUGAUCCAGCAAUGCCGCGUGCAGGAAGAAGGCC